UACGUAGGUGGCAAGCGUUAUCCGGAUUUACUGGGUGUAAAGGGCGAGUAGGCGGGAUUGCAAGUCAGAUGUGAAAACUAUGGGCUCAACCGAUAGAGUGCAUUUGAAACUGCAGUUCUUGAGUGAUGGAGAGGCAGGCGGAAUUCCCGGUGUAGCGGUGGAAUGCGUAGAUAUCGGGAGGAACACCAGUGGCGAAGGCGGCAUACCGGCGCCCAACUGACGCUGAAGCACGAAAGCGUGGGUAUCGAACAGG
rnacentral:rRNA from 1 species